GGCGAACGCUGGCGGCAGGCCUAACACAUGCAAGUCGAACGGCAGCACAGUAAGAGCUUGCUCUUACGGGUGGCGAGUGGCGGACGGGUGAGGUAUACAUCGGAAUCUACUUUUUCGUGGGGGAUAACGUAGGGAAACUUACGCUAAUACCGCAUACGACCUACGGGGGAAAGCAGGGGAUCUUCUGACCUUUUGCGAUUGAAUAAGCCGAUGUCGGAUUAGCUAGUUGGCGGGUUAAAGACCCACAACGGCGACGAUCCGUAGCGGGUCUGAGGGGAUGGUCAGCCACACUGGAACUGAGACACGGUCCAGACUCCUACGGUAGGCAGCAGUGGGGAAUAUUAGGCAAUGGGCGCAAGCCUGAUACAGCCAUACCGCGUGGGUGAAGAAGGCCUUCGGGUUGUAAAGCCCUUUUGUUGGGAAAGAAAAGCAGCAGGUUAAUACCCCGCUGUUCUGACGGUACCCAAAGAAUAAGCACCGGCUAACUUCGUG
rnacentral:rRNA from 1 species